CACACAAUAGAUACGGCGGUCAAUCGGCAAACUCCGGCAAUGGUAGAAGGCUGGCGAUCGCUAAUGGUGUACCUAGGAGUAAAUGUCAAAACGACGAUCGCGUAUUAAGACUUCCGUGGUGCUACCUGGAGCUGGGGUAGAACUUCCAUUGUUAGGAAAAAGAGAAGUGUACUUUUAUCUGGGUCACAUGACAAUUAAGGAUUUAUUUAUGGGCAGUUCUGUCAUGUUUGAUUUGCUGUGCUUUCGUUAAGUUUGGCUGACUCGUGUGCACCGAAUCCACUUUGGAAGCGAAAUACAGGUGACAAGUUUACAGGUAAAACGUCGCCAAAGCCAGCAGCCAUGAGUCUACGGUCCUCCAGACUGUACGGCGCCAUAGAGAGCGACAGCCUCGACGACAUUGUCAACGAGCUGAUAACGUUCUGCAGGUCCGGCAACGACAUCAACGUGCAGGACACGGUGUCGGGGGAGACGUACCUCCACCACAUCGUGCGCCACUACCGCCGCUUCUCCGACCCCAAGAACGUGUCUCUGCUCUACAUGGUUGGCUGUAAGCUCGACGUGGACGCCGUGGACGCUGACGGCGAGACGGCGCUACACAAGGUGGUCAGGAAGAACGGUGCAUACCGACUGAUGGUCGCCAUGCUCAGGUGUGGCGCGGACACGGAGGUGAAGAACAAGGACGGGAAGACGGCCGAGGACAUCCUGCUCACGGAGAAACCCAGCGGCUGGCAGGAGAUGCUACACUGGUAUCGGAAAUUUAAACCAGGUCUGUGGCGAGCCCUUAUGGCGGACAGCCCGGACAAGAAGCUCAUCGAGCGCCUGUUGAAGUCGUGGUGUCGCGUGGUCGUCUGCAAGAACAAGCAGAUCGUCAACCUGAAGGAGGUGGCGCACAACAGGGUGGGGCAGCUCGACAUCGUCUGUCUGAUGGAGAAAUACGAGAACACCAACGAGUUCGUCCUCUCGCUGCUCGCCGGAACCGGACGAUUCAUCAGUUACUGGAAGGAAAACGGUCUUGCCAUGAAUAAUAUUGACAUCAACACGCGCGACUACUCCUACCAAUACCGUUAUCCCGAUUACCCGGAAGUGCCUCAACCUCUCCUCGCUGCAUUGUGGGAGAAGGACAUCUUCGAAAUCGUUGACAUUUUGAUGGAGAUGAAACCCGACACGAGUGUUCUCUAUUCCAAUGAACCAGAGUCGAAAAGUCCGCCAAAGCCUUUGUUUUUCCAGGUCCUGUCGGGCCACCCGAAGCCGACGGACGAACGGAUCGUGAGACGGAUCAUACGCGGCUCCGACAUGCAGGCCAGAAACACGUACGGCGCCACCAUCCUCAUGGAGGCCAUCGUCUCCCAGCAGUCGGACGACUUCAUCCACUUCCUCUUCCAGUGCGGCGUGAACGUGGCGACGCGCGCGCGCUGUGGCCGGACAGCGCGCACGCUGUGCGACGAGGAGGCCGUGCAGGACGGCGCACGCUACACGCGCCUCAUCGACCAGCACGUGCUGGGCUUCGUCAGGGACUGCAACAUCGAGCGGCUCGAGCGACUCGUUCUGCAGUCGUACAACCACAUCCUCGACAUCGUCGACGAGCGCGGCCACACGGCGCUCCAGAUCGCCAGGAAGCUGGGAUCGAAACAGCUCAUCAGAAUCUUGCAGAACGUGGUGGCCACGCAGGACCAUGCCAAGAAAGUGUUUGCAGCCAUCGACAAAGGAAAUAUGACAUUACUGAAGAAAUUGCUGACAAAGAAAUACGCCCACGUAUUGGACAAAUGUGGCCGAACAACUGUUCACCAUGCCUGUCUCCAUCAGCACAGCAAAAUAGUGCGCUUUUUAUUGGAAGAUUCUCCGCAAAUGAUUAACAUGUCCGAUGGUAUGGGUAGGACUCCCCUUCAUUACGCAUAUCUGUUCUUAGAUCAGGACGACACCGUGGACUACCUGUUGAAGAAAGGAGCAAGCAACAUCUCUAAAGAUGUGAACGGUAGGACUCCCUCUGACUAUAGUCGAAAGAAUUGUGGGGCUCAUGAAUUUGCUUUGAGACAGAAACAAGUGCGGGAGUACGACUUGGAACUAUUUCUUGGACUAACAAAGUGUUUUAAUACAUUUCCUAAUGCAAUCAAGGUAACAGAGAAACACUUGUCAUCAAUUUUGAGACAAUGUUAAGUAUUAGACUAACAAAGUGUUUUAAUACAUUUCCUAAUUCAAUCAAGGUAACACGGAAACACUUGUCAUCGAUUUUGAGACAAUGUUAAGUAUUAUGUAGACUAACAAAGUGUUUUAAUACAUUUUCUAAUGCAAUCAAGGUAACAGAGAAACACUUGUCAUCAAUUUUGAGACAAUGUUAAGUAUUAGACUAACAAAGUGUUUUAAUACAUUUCCUAAUUCAAUCAAGGUAACACGGAAACACUUGUCAUCGAUUUUGAGACAAUGUUAAGUAUUAUGUAGACUAACAAAGUGUUUUAAUACAUUUUCUAAUGCAAUCAAGGUAACAGAGAAACACUUGUCAUCAAUUUUGAGACAAUGUUAAGUAUUAUGUAGACUAACAAAGUGUUUUAAUACAUUUUCUAAUGCAAUCAAGGUAACAGAGAAACACGUGUCAUCAAUUUUGAGACAAUGUUAAGUAUUAUAUAGACUAACAAAGUGUUUUAAUACAUUUCCUAAUGCAAUCAAGGUAACAGAGAAACACUUGUCAUCAAUUUUGAGACAAUGUUAAGUAUUAGACUAACAAAGUGUUUUAAUACAUUUCCUAAUUCAAUCAAGGUAACACGGAAACACUUGUCAUCGAUUUUGAGACAAUGUUAAGUAUUAUGUAGACUAACAAAGUGUUUUAAUACAUUUUCUAAUGCAAUCAAGGUAACAGAGAAACACUUGUCAUCAAUUUUGAGACAAUGUUAAGUAUUAUGUAGACUAACAAAGUGUUUUAAUACAUUUUCUAAUGCAAUCAAGGUAACAGAGAAACACGUGUCAUCAAUUUUGAGACAAUGUUAAGUAUUAUAUAGACUAACAAAGUGUUUUAAUACAUUUCCUAAUGCAAUCAAGGCGGGUGACUUGGCGACUGUAAAGAAUCUCACGGUGGGCCUCAAGGAGCACAAUGGUAUCGACAAGUUCAACAACGCUCUCUUCGACUGCAUCGACCACGGCCAUUUCAACAUCGCAGAGUUCCUCAUCCU